UACGUAGGGGGCGAGCGUUGUCCGGAGUUACUGGGCGUAAAGGGCGUGCAGGCGGUGCGGUAAGUUUAGCGUGACAGUCUCCGGCUUAACUGGAGAAGGCCGCUGAAAACUGCUGGACUUGAGGGCCAGAGAGGGACACGGAAUUCCGGGUGGAGUGGUGAAAUGCGUAGAGAUCCGGAGGAACACCAAAGGCGAAGGCAGUGUCCUGGGGAGUACCUGACGCUCAGGUGCGAAAGCCAGGGGAGCGAACGGG
rnacentral:rRNA from 1 species